UAAAAGAAUGGUUUCUUUGAGUUUUAAUGUGGACAUACAAGUUAGAUGAGCCCCACCUUUAAAAAAAAAUUAUAGGAGGUUUUUCUCAAAGAUGAUGAAUAACCUUCAAAAUAAACUAGUUUUUUAUACAAUUGAUUAAAUUUUUUUCCACUCCAAUUGAGUAUAAAUACCGCUUAGAAAAAAUCAUUGUUAUACUUUCCAGUUUCAAGCUAGAAAAGUACUCUUUCAACAUGCAUUACUUGUUUGCUCUCUUGGUCGUUGUUGCUUUGGUGGUUUGCGCAUAUGCGCAAUACUACCCUUACAACUACAACUACUACUAUGGAGCUCCAGCU